UGCUAUUUUUGCCAGGUUUUAAGCUCUUUUGAGGCCAACUGGAACAGCUGAAAUGGAACAUUAAAAAACUGUUUUGAUGCUGGGGCACAGAUGGCUGUAGCCCAAUGUGUCAAAAUAAAUGUUUCAUUUUUGGUCUAAUGUGCAAAAAAUAGACCUUCUCAAUUACUCCAAUAAUCACAGGUGCAAUAAAUGACUCUCUAGCUAAGAAGAGCUAUUUCAGAUGGGCAUUCAGAGAAAUUCUAUGUAUUCUAUGUCCAACAAUAUGAAAAGGUAAAUUACCUUAGACCAUUGACUUACUGCCUUUGAAAGGGUGCUAACAGCCACAAUCAAGCCUGGAGCUUUAAUCUUCUAUUUGGCAACUGAAUUUCACAAACACAUGAUUGCUCCUUAUGACAGAGACAGUUUGAGAAGAUGCUGCAGACAACAGAUCUGUUAACUUUAAAUCAGUGGCAUAUGUAUGCUUGGGAAAUUCAGAACGGCUUGAACAGACUUCAGCACUUAAACACUUUGUCCGGACUUUAUUCUAAAGGCUUUGAUGAAUAAACAGGGGAGUCAAUCAAAUACAGGUAAAUUGUUUUCAGAGCCAGCAUCUGCCCGGACUUACACGUCACAACAAACCAGGUGCAUCCACCAGUCUCUGCAGCGCUAGGGAACAGCCAUCAAUCAGUGUCUUGACUGCUGUGUUUGUAGCUCAGAGAGCAGCGUCUCCCUGCUGGAAAGGGACAAGCCAUCAAGGCCAGAGCCACCACUGAGCUGGUAAAGAGCUCUGAGGAGAAACUUCAAAUAACCCCCAGAAAGCAGUGUGGGGGAAGAUACCAGCCAGGCAGGAGACAAAUGGCUUCAGCUGCCAAUACUCAGGCUUCUUGCUUACAACUACAGUGCAGGGCUUUGUUUGUGAGAUGGAGCCACGUGAGAGAGGGAAUGGUAACUGUUACGCUACAGCACAAUGGUCUUUAAUCAGAACAACCUUUCCAAUAUGUGGAUGUUUCAAAACAACAUAGAAAAUCAAGCAGAGCUACAUGAAAGAAAAGGCAUUUUCAGAAAGGAGGAAUAAAGAAGAAGACACUGAAUGUCUGGCA
rnacentral:lncRNA from 1 species